GUCGUAAAAGGGGACGCGGAGGAGAAGGAAAGUCGCUCAAGCAGUGGACAGAGCGGAGAAAGCGACUUCGGGUUGGUUGAAGGUUCAGCCUGAGAAAACUCCUGAGCAUGUGCGAAAAAGAAAAGAAGAAAAGAAAAGUAAAGAAAAGAAAAAAGGAAAAAGGGCAAGCUCCUGAGUGGAUCUCUCAGGGAGCCACCAGACAGCCGCAGAGAGAAGAAGCUGCCCAAGAAUGGAAAGGAAGAAAUAUAUCACAUCAUCUGUCUGUCCACAGGCUUUCCUUGGGGCUUAUGAAGUGAAUGAAGGAGGGAAGAAAGGAGAGACAGAGAAAAUAUGGGAAGUAUGCAGCUGGCAUCAGAAGCUGGAAGAUAGGAUCUUCCCGGAUCACAGCUCCUGUUCAGAAAGUCUGAGGAUGUCAGACUGAGACUGUUGAGUCUGAGGAUGUCAGACUGAGAUUGUUGAGUCUCAGGAUGUUGCAGGACAGGAUGGAUGAAGAAUGCUAGUCCUGGCAGUUGGGGCCUAAGGCCAGGGCCCUUUUUUAUCACUUUCUUGUGUUGCCUCUCUGCCCAAGAAAAAAUCUGUCUCUUGCAUACAGCUCCUCUAAUACGUGUCCAUUAGAAGGAAGGAGUUUCUUUAAUGAGCUCUAUGGUUUUAUCUUGCUCAUAACAGCUUAGUUUAAUGCCACUGAAACUGUAACAUUUUUUUGUGCCUAAUAUCAACUGACAAAUAUAAAGUUAUUCCUAAUUUAUUAAUUCAAAUGAUAUAUUGCAAAAUAAAAUCUGCUUAAUAUGAAAAGAAGUAA
rnacentral:lncRNA from 1 species